rnacentral:lncRNA from 10 species
GGACGCGGCGCACCCUCUGCAGCUGCUGGCUCGGGUGCUAAGCCCCUUACUGCCGGGGGCUGGCGGGGCCGGCCAGCUGCUCCGAGUCUGGGGCGCCAAGCCCGCGCCCACCCGGAACUCUAGCUGGCCCGCAAGCACAGUGCGCAGCCCGGGUUCCCGCCUGUGCCUCUCCCUCCACACCUCCCCACAGGCUGAGGGAGCCGGCUCGGGCCUCCGCCAUCCCAGGAAGGGGUUCCCACAGUGCAGCGGCGGGCUGAAGGGCUCCUCAAGCGCGGCCAGAGUGGGCGCUGAGGCCGAGGAGGCACUGAGAGCGAGCAAGGGCUGCGAGGGCUGCCGCACGCUGUCACCUCUCAAGUAGUUAAGAGAUAGUGCAUUCGAAGCAGUGCAGUGGGAAGGGAAGGUAGAGAGAAGGAUUUGAUAAAGACACAGGAGGCACCAUGGUUACAUUAUAAUUUAUCUUUGAGAACAGAAGUAUCAUCCCAUGGCCAACUCAGUGUUCAGGCAUCUUGGACAGGCACUCCCAUUCAAGUGUGACUGACUUUGAAAGUUGAAGUAAAAUACCUCAAGUGAACGAUGUGCUGCCGUCAAUAUCCAGAUAGCCCAACAAGUAGGCCAGAACCAGCAGCCGAUUUGGAUACCAUCAAGACACCUGAAAACUUGUCAUGAGCCAGAUACCCAGGAAGAGGUUUUGGAAGGAUCCCAAAGAUCCCCCAGUUGCAGCCAUGUUGAGACUGACACUGAGGAGGACCCCAACUGUCAUUAGCAACACCCAUCGAACAUAGCCACCUACCUGGGGACAGAUCAAGA